rnacentral:rRNA from 1 species
AGAGUUUGAUCAUGGCUCAGGAUGAACGCUAGCUACAGGCUUAACACAUGCAAGUCGAGGGGCAGCAUGUUGGUUGCUUGCAACCAAUGAUGGCGACCGGCGCACGGGUGAGUAACGCGUAUCCAACCUACCCUUGUCCAUCGGAUAACCCGUCGAAAGGCGGCCUAACACGAUAUGCGGUUCACAGCAGGCAUCUAAGGUGAACGAAAUGUGAAGGAGAAGGAUGGGGAUGCGUCUGAUUAGCUUGUUGGCGGGGUAACGCCACAAGGCUACGAUCAGUAGGGGUUCUGAGAGGAAGGUCCCCCANAUUGGAACUGAGACACGGUACCAAACUCCGUACGGAGGCA